rnacentral:rRNA from 1 species
AGCGAACGCUGGCGGCAGGCCUAACACAUGCAAGUCGAACGAACUCUUCGGAGUUGGUGGCGGACGGGUGAGUAACACGUGGGAACGUGCCUUUAGGUUCGGAAUAACUCAGGGAAACUUGUGCUAAUACCGAAUGUGCCCUUCGGGGGAAAGAUUUAUCGCCUUUAGAGCGGCCCGCGUCUGAUUAGCUUGUUGGUGGGGUAAUGGCCCACCAAGGCGACGAUCAGUAGCUGGUCUGAGAGGAUGACCAGCCACAUUGGGACUGAGACACGGCCCAAACUCCUACGGGAGGCAGCAGUGGGGAAUCUUGAGCAAUGGGCGAAAGCCUGACGCAGCCAUGCCGCGUGGAUGAUGAAGGUCUUAGGAUUGUAAAAUCCUUUCACCGGUGAAGAUAAUGACUGUAGCCGGAGAAGAAGCCCCGGCUAACUUCGUGCCAGCCGCCGCAGUAAGAC